UACGUAGGGUGCAAGCGUUGUCCGGAAUUAUUGGGCGUAAAGAGCGUGUAGGCGGCCCGACCAGUCCGCUGUGAAAGUCCAGGGCUCAACCCUGGAAUGCCGGUGGAUACUGUCGGGCUAGAGUCCGGAAUGGGCGAGUGGAAUCCUGGUGUAGCGGUGAAAUGCGCAGAUAUCAGGAGGAACACCAAUGGCGAAGGCAGCUCGCUGGGACGUGACUGACGCUGAGACGCGAAAGCGUGGGAGCAAACAGG
rnacentral:rRNA from 1 species